UUCGCCCUCAAAUCAGGUAGGACUACCCGCUGAACUUAAGCAUAUCAAUAAGCGGAGGAAAAGAAACCAACAGGGAUUGCCCCAGUAACGGCGAGUGAAGCGGCAAAAGCUCAAAUUUGAAAUCCUGCGGGAAUUGUAAUUUGAAGGUUUCGUGGUCUGAGUCGGCCGCGCCCAAGUCCAUUGGAACAUGGCGCCUGGGAGGGUGAGAGCCCCGUAUGGCGCACGCCGACUCUUUGCACCGCGGCUCCGACGAGUCGAGUUGUUUGGGAAUGCAGCUCUAAGUGGGUGGUAAAUUCCAUCUAAAGC
rnacentral:rRNA from 1 species